CAUUGCUGUGGCUGCCCCAGAUAAAGGAGCAUGACCGUGGACCAGUUGCUGCAGUACUCCUGUGAGUUAGCUAUGAUGGUCAACCCCCACUUUCCAGAGGAAGAAACGGAGUAAUGGAGAGAGCAGGUAUACAUCCGAAAAAAUUGAAAACAGAUAUUCAAACAAAAACUUUCACUGAAAAGUUCAUAGCAGCACUACUCAAAAUGAUCAAAAGGAAGCAAUCCAAUGCACAGCUGAUGAACGAAUGAACAAAAUGUGAUAUGGCCAUACCAUGGAAUACCACUCAGCCACAAAAAGGAGCACGAUCCAGACACAUGCUGCAACAUGGAUAAACCUGGGAAAUAUUAUGGUGAGGGAAAGAUGCAAGACUCAAAAAGUCACAUAUUAAUGAUUCCAUGUAUAUGAAAUAGAACAGAAGAGGUAGAUCCAGGGACAGAAAGAUUGCUGACUGCCAGGGACUGGGCAGAUGGUUGAGUAGAGAGUGACUGCUUAAUGGAUAUGGGGUUUCUCUUUAAGGUCAUGAAAAAGUUUUGCAACUAUCUAUUGGUGACAGUUUCGCAACAUUGUGAAUAUGCUACAAGCCACUCAAUUGUAUAUUUUUAAAUGGUUAUUUUAUAUUACAUGAAUUUUACCAUGAUUUUAAAAAACUAGGGAUGGUGGUCCUCAUCCUAUGGCUUGUGGUCUCCCUAUUUCUUCUCCAUGCAAAUCUUGGGUAAAUGACAAAUCAAACUGCAAAAAUCUGAGACUUCCCUGGUGGUCCAGUGGUUAAGACUUGUCGUUUCCACUUCAGGGGACAUGGAUUGGAUCCCUAGUCUGAGAUCCCACAUGCAUGCUAUCCAGCGAGGUCAAAAAAGAAAAAUAGAGACACAGCCUCCCUCAGAGGAGGCUCUGAGAAGAGGUGGAACUCAGGCAGUCUCCCCAGAUGACUCUAGUAUGUGGCCCAGGUGAUAUC
ensembl:lncRNA